UACGGAGGGUGCGAGCGUUGUCCGGAAUCAUUGGGCGUAAAGGGCGCGUAGGUGGCCCGGUCAGUUCGUGGUGAAAGCGCGGGGCUCAACCCUGCGUCGGCCAUGAAUACUGCCGCGGCUGGAGCACUGUAGAGGCAGGCGGAAUUCCGGGUGUAGCGGUGGAAUGCGUAGAGAUCCGGAAGAACACCGGUGGCGAAGGCGGCCUGCUGGGCAGUUGCUGGACACUGGAGGCGCGACAGCGUGGGGAGCAAACAGG
rnacentral:rRNA from 1 species